rnacentral:rRNA from 1 species
AAGUAUAAGCAAUUAUACCGUGAAACUGCGAAUGGCUCAUUAAAUCAGUUAUCGUUUAUUUGAUAGUACCUUACUACUUGGAUAACCGUGGUAAUUCUAGAGCUAAUACAUGCUGAAAACCCCAACUUCGGAAGGGGUGUAUUUAUUAGAUAAAAAACCAAUGCCCUUCGGGGCUUCUUGGUGAUUCAUGAUAACUAAACGGAUCGCAUGGCCUUGCGCCGGCGACGGUUCAUUCAAAUUUCUGCCCUAUCAACUUUCGAUGGUAAGGUAUUGGCUUACCAUGGUUUCAACGGGUAACGGGGAAUUAGGGUUCGAUUCCGGAGAGGGAGCCUGAGAAACGGCUACCACAUCCAAGGAAGGCAGCAGGCGCGCAAAUUACCCAAUCCCGACACGGGGAGGUAGUGACAAUAAAUACUGAUACAGGGCUCUUUUGGGUCUUGUAAUUGGAAUGAGUACAAUUUAAACCUCUUAACGAGGAACAAUUGGAGGGCAAGUCUGGUGCCAGCAGCCAAU